CUGGAGAGUCCAGGAUGUGGACUUGAAACUCUGAGAUUGAGCGACUGUAGUUUGUCAGAGAUCAGCUGUGAUUAUCUGGCAGCAGCACUGAAGUCCAACCCCUCCCAUCUGAGAGAGCUGGACCUGAGUAGUUACUACUGCUUGUUGUUGACCAGCAAGAACAACCUGCAGGAUUCAGGAGUGAAGCAUCUGUGUGGUUUCCUGGAGAGUCCAGGAUGUGGACUUGAAACUCUGAGAUUGAGGUACUGUGGUUUGUCAAAGAUCAGCUGUGAUUAUCUGGCAGCUGCACUGAAGUCCAACCCCUCCCAUCUGAGAGAGCUAGACCUGUGGGGAAACAAGCUGCAGGAUCCAGAUGUGAAGCAGCUGUCUGAUCUUCAGCAGAGUUCAAACUACAGACUGGAGAAACUGGGGUGGAGCUGGGGAUGGUGAACAGGACGGUGUGUGUGCUGAGAGAGGAGGAGCUGUGUCCUGAUGAUCCAGAGAGGUUGAAGCAGCAGCAGCUUGUGUGUAGAGACGCUCCGACUGGGCCAUGUUACUGGGAGGUGGAGAGGAGAGCUUCAUC